UACGGAGGGGACUAGCGUUGUUCGGAAUUACUGGGCGUAAAGCGCACGUAGGCGGAUUUGUUAGUCAGGGGUGAAAUCCCGAGGCUCAACCUCGGAACUGCCUUUGAUACUGCAAAUCUCGAGUCCGGAAGAGGUGAGUGGAACUCCUAGUGUAGAGGUGGAAUUCGUAGAUAUUAGGAAGAACACCAGUGGCGAAGGCGGCUCACUGGUCCGGUACUGACGCUGAGGUGCGAAAGCGUGGGGAGCAAACAGG
rnacentral:rRNA from 1 species